UACGUAGGCAGCAAGCGUUGUUCGGAAUUACUGGGCGUAAAGAGUGUGUAGGCGGUGCUCUAAGUCUGUUGUGAAAUCUCCCGGCUUAACCGGGAGGGUGCGGCGGAAACUGGAGUGCUUGAGGGUGGGAGAGGGAAGCGGAAUUCCUGGUGUAGCGGUGAAAUGCGUAGAUAUCAGGAGGAACACCAAUAGCGAAGGCAGCUCGCUGGGACGUUACUGACACUAAGGCGCGAAAGCGUGGGGAGCGAACAGG
rnacentral:rRNA from 1 species